rnacentral:rRNA from 1 species
UACGGAGGGUGCAAGCGUUAUCCGGAUUCACUGGGUUUAAAGGGUGCGUAGGUGGGAAUGUAAGUCAGUGGUGAAAUCUCCGUGCUUAACAUGGAAACUGCCAUUGAUACUAUGUUUCUUGAAUUUUCUGGAGGUAAGCGGAAUAUGUCAUGUAGCGGUGAAAUGCUUAGAUAUGACAUAGAACACCAAUUGUGAAGGCAGCUUGCUACAGGGAUAUUGACACUGAGGCACGAAAGCGUGGGGAUCAAACAGG